ACGACGCGCAGCUCGUUGAUGUCGCGACCGUCCAACAACACGGACAUGUUGAUGUUGCAAUGCGGCGAGCUCACACGUUGCAAUCGGGCGGAUGCUGCGACUAGCGAGAUUUCAAAACGCUUUCGUUUAUAAAUAACUUCGCUGCGACUAGUGGACUAGCACGCCGGGAAUAUGAACAUCACAAUAAACACGAGACUAGUCGCUGAACAUGUACGAUGUGUAGUGAUGAGUACAUCAAGCUACUGAACGACAGUCAACAAUAAUGGCCGCCCGGCAACUCGGCAUGCGCAGUGAAUAUAAACAAGAUGGAGUUGACAGUCGCAGUUAUUUAUAGGUUUGUAAAUUUGAAUUUAAGAUAGGCAACCAAAUAUACAUAUCAGCACUACCAUUUCCUGUUUAUCUUGUCAUCCGCCAUGUUUUUGACAUAAUUUAAACAAAUACUAACUACUUUCAACACGUUUUAUUCGUCUAACAAUGUUCGUAUAUUUCGAAUAUUAAUAUUUGUUCACAUUUCAUUGUUAAAUUCUUUCAAGAAGCAGACGAAGACUAUAUUUAUAUUAAUUAGAGUAGUGGUAAAUGGAUAACAAUAAAAGAUGCACACUAGAGAUGAGGCGGUGCAUGUUCCACGUACAUUUUUUGCAUUACAUACAUCAUUUUUGGUUUACACUUUUAAAUAAAAUCGAUCGAAUAUCAUGAUUGACGAUGAUUAACGAUGAGUACGCUACAUCUUAACGUAGAAAUGGCGGCGACUCUGCGUGUCUUGUUUUUUUGAACUUAGAUCAAUAAAUCUCAUCCAUUAAUUUAAAAAUUCAACAAUUGGUUUAGCACGCUGUGGGGGAUUAUACUAUGCUGAGGCGACGCAUCUCCUUGAGGAGUUCAGUGCCCAUCUGCGCGGGGGACUUGGUUACAAUAACUCCGGCUUUCUCCAAAGCGUUGAUUUUGUCUUGUGCGCCACCUUUACCGCCGGAGAUGAUGGCACCAGCGUGACCCAUGCGUCUGCCAGGUGGAGCAGAUAGACCAGCGAUGAAGGAAACAACAGGUUUAGCGUUAGGUCCCUAAAAAUCAUCAAAAUAUUAAUUUUUACAUCCGCCAUUUUGAAUUUAACCUAAAAUAUGCACUCACGGUGUUGUGUUUCAUCAAAUACUCAGCAGCCAUCUCCUCAGCGUUACCACCGAUCUCUCCGAUGAGAAUAAUGCCCUUGGUCUCCGAAUCGUUGAGGAACACAUCAAGGCAGUCGAUGAAAUUGGUUCCGUUGAAUGGAUCACCACCAAUGCCAACGCACAGCGUUUGGCCGAGACCCACCUGCGUGGUUUGGUGAACAGCCUCGUAGGUAAGUGUACCAGAACGCGAUACUACACCAACGACACCUUUCUGAUGAAUGUGACCGGGCAUAAUACCAAUUUUACACUAUAAACAAGGUAAAAAAAGCAUUUAAAAACUAGUUUUUCAAGUUUAUAUGCAAAAAACAAAUUGAUUUUAUAUUUGGUAAUAAAAUUGAAGUAAAACUUG